GACGAACGCUGGCGGCGUGCUUAACACAUGCAAGUCGAGCGGUAAGGCCCUUUCGGGGGUACACGAGCGGCGAACGGGUGAGUAACACGUGGGUGACCUGCCCUCAGCUCUGGGAUAAGCCUGGGAAACCGGUCUAAUACCGGAUAUGACUCCAUGACGCAUGUUGUGGGGUGAAAGCCUUGUGCGGCUGAGGAUGGGCCCGCGGCCUAUCAGCUUGUUGGUGGGGUGAUGGCCUACCAAGGCGACGACGGUAGCCGGCCUGAGAGGGCGACCGGCCACACUGGGACUGAGACACGGCCCAGACUCCUACGGGAGGCAGCAGUGGGGAAUCUUGCGCAAUGGGCGAAAGCCUGACGCAGCGACGCCGCGUGA
rnacentral:rRNA from 1 species